GGCGAACGGGUGAGUAACACGUUAGGUAACCUGCCCUUGGAUUUGGGAUAACAUUGCUAACGCGGUGCUAAUACCAAAUAAUGCAGCGGCUCCACAUGGAGAUGUUGUUAAAGCUGGCCUCUACAUGUAAGCUAGCGUCUAAGGAUGGACCUGCGUCCCAUUAGCUUGUUGGCGGGGUAACGGCCCACCAAGGCUACGAUGGGUAGCCGGCCUGAGAGGGUGACCGGCCACACUGGGACUGAGAUACGGCCCAGACUCCUACGGGAGGCAGCAGUGAGGAAUAUUGCGCAAUGGCCGAAAGGCUGACGCAGCAACGCCGCGUGAGGGAUGAAGUUCUUCGGAAUGUAAACCUCUGUUAGGAGGGACGAACAGGCGAUUAUCGAACAGAUAGUUGCUUUGACGGUACCUCCAGAGAAAGCCCCGGCUAACUCCGUGCCAGCAGCCGCGGUAACACGGGGGGGGCGAGCGUUGUCCGGAAUUAUUG
rnacentral:rRNA from 1 species